rnacentral:rRNA from 1 species
GGGGAAUAUUGCACAAUGGGCGAAAGCCUGAUGCAGCAACGCCGCGUGAGUGAUGAAGGUCUUCGGAUUGUAAAGCUCUGUCUUUUGGGACGAUAAUGACGGUACCAAAGGAGGAAGCCACGGCUAACUACGUGCCAGCAGCCGCGGUAAUACGUAGGUGGCGAGCGUUGUCCGGAUUUACUGGGCGUAAAGGGUGCGUAGGCGGAUGUUUAAGUGAGAUGUGAAAUACCCGGGCUUAACUUGGGUGCUGCAUUUCAAACUGGAUAUCUAGAGUGCAGGAGAGGAGAAUGGAAUUCCUAGUGUAGCGGUGAAAUGCGUAGAGAUUAGGAAGAACACCAGUGGCGAAGGCGAUUCUCUGGACUGUAACUGACGCUGAGGCACGAAAGCGUGGGUAGCAAACAGGAUUAGAUACCCUGGUAGUCCACGCCGUAAAACGAUGAGUACUAGGUGUAGGAGGUAUCGACCCCUUCUGUGCCGCAGUAAACACAUUAAGUACUCCGCCUGGGAAGUACGAUCGCAAGA